GGAUUAGAUACCCUGGUAGUCCACGCUGUAAACGAUGAACACUAGACGCUGGGAGGGUCUACCUUUCGGUGUCGCAGCUAACGCGUUAAGUGUUCCGCCUGGGGAGUACGGCCGCAAGGUUGAAACUCAAAGGAAUUGACGGGGGCCCGCACAAGCGGUGGAGCAUGUGGUUUAAUUCGAUGCGACGCGCAGAACCUUACCUGCCUUUGACAGCCGGGGAACUUGACUGAGAGGUCGAGGUGCCGCAAGGAACCCCGAGACAGGUGCUGCAUGGCUGUCGUCAGCUCGUGCUG
rnacentral:rRNA from 1 species